AAGGGGUAUUCACUCAUCUCUUUGUAUGCUGGCAGUACCAAACCGAAGUUUAGCACUAUGCAGCUGAGAUUUUGUGCAGCCAGACGAUGCAUGAGAUCCUUUUCGGCAGACUGUAAUAGUAUGAUUUUAGAUCUGCUCCUAAUUUGGGAGGCAUUUUCCUUGGGAAGCCCCAGCCUAGAUGAAUUACGAAGAGGAUUUCCUUAUCUCGAACAGUGACAAUUAGUUCAAGUGCCACAUGAGAGCAGGCAGCUGAUUUUUGGACAGCCUCUGAACUUAUGCAAAGUUGCUGACAACGAGUGUGUGUUCUAGCUUUUGGAAAUCCUAUAAUCCUGGCUUCAAUCAAGAGGAUCUGCUGUGGCUGAAGGCGUAAACAAGGAGAGAAGCAGCAUGUGAUCACUGCUCCUACACCUUCAAGGAUUCCCGAGCCAAAACAAGUGCAACGGUUAGAGGUUUUGCCGGGUAUCCAAUGUGACCCGCGUUUCGUAUGAUCUUGCUGAACCCAGGGAAAGCAGUCCUUACCCCUCAGCAGGAAAGUUUUCUUUGGACUCUGCAUUUUUCCCCAUAGCUCUCAGUUGUGCAUUUCUCCCUGCUCCCCUCUCACUCCUCUGAUUUUCCUCUUGCCAUCUGUAUCCCCUUUUUGCCUCAUCUGAAACAAGCAUCAAGAUCCUGUUUCUGACAGAACGAUCUGUCAAUAUGGAGACACACUGACAUCAGAUGCAGUGCUGUGACUUCAUGUCUGAAAGAAACAGGAGGAACAGAUGAAAGGAGUGAAGAGGAAGGAAUGACACAUACAAACAUUUAAAAAAAUUUAAAUAAAAAUUCUUCUCUAUCAACCCAAAAUGUAAAAGAACAUAAAACAGAUUUAUUUUUUAAUUUUAAAUAUAAACAGCUAUUUCCUAAUCUGUUGUGUAAUCAAGGUAACACUUCACCGCGCUGUUCUCCCGGGGCAGGUAGCAGUCUUGAGGAGCGUGCACUUUGCUGACUCGGAGCCUCAGGGAAGCCGCCUCGGCCUCUGGAAAAGAGCUAACUAGGAGCUAACCUGGCAAACGAGCAUUAUGGAGCAUAAUGCUCAUACCUGGGAGGAGCCUCCUAAGGGAAAGGAGGACUUCUGCCUGGGAAAAAUCUAAAAAAUCUAACAAAAUGCAAAUUCAUAGAAUUAAAAAAAAACGUUAACCAAAAACCCAAACUCAGUUUUGAUGUGGCAGGAUCAAAGCUAACAUUGCCCCAAGGAGACAGGGAUACAGAAUCUACCCAGAAAAUAUGCUUAUUGAAAAGCAAGGGUGGGAUCUCACCUUACUAUUAAU